rnacentral:tRNA from 1 species
GGGGAUGUAGCUCAGUUGGUAGAGUGCUUGCCUUGCAUGCACAAGACCCUGGGUUCAAUCCCCAGCACCACCA